rnacentral:rRNA from 1 species
CCUACGGGAGGCAGCAGUGGGGAAUCUUGCGCAAUGCGCGAAAGCGUGACGCAGCAACGCCGCGUGGGGGAAGACGGCCUUCGGGUUGUAAACCCCUUUCAGGAGGGACGAAGGCUCACCGGUGAAUAGCCGUGUGGGUUGACGGUACCUCCAGAAGAAGCUCCGGCUAACUACGUGCCAGCAGCCGCGGUAAU